rnacentral:tRNA from 1 species
GGGGCUAUAGUUCAGUGGUAGAGUACUUGCCUCACAGGUGUAAGAACCUGGGUUCGAUCCUCAGUACCACA